UGGGUUACUACAUCCAACAACCGAACAUUUUAACUUACCCUCUCGUAAGUUCUGCAUCCUUUAGCUUGGACUACAAAAUUGCAGCGAGAAAUAAAAAUGGCGGAUUGCUCGAAGUGGUGGGCCGGAAGUCGAUGUCCUUAUUUGGCAGUUCCGCUGCAAAUACGGUGACAAAAAAAAAAACAGAAAAAUCGGAACAGGUUGAAAAAUAUGACCAAAACAGAAUAUAAAGAUAUCAACAAAGCACCUGAAGAGAAUAAUUUAAACUUUUCUGUACUUCUAAACACUCCAAAUAUACAACAAAAUGCAUUUAAGGGCUAAAAAAAUGGAUUUAGCAUGAUAUGUCCCCUUUAAUUCUCAA